AGAUUCCCCCAGUAGCGGCGAGCGAACGGGGAGCAGCCCAGGACCUGAAUCAGCUUGUGCAUCAGUGGAAGCGUCUGGAAAGUCGCGCGAUACCGGGUGACAGCCCCGUACACGAAGAUGCAUGAGUUGUGAGUCCGACGAGUAGGGCGGGACACGUGGUAUCCUGUCUGAAUAUGGGGGGACCAUCCUCCAAGGCUAAAUAC
rnacentral:rRNA from 1 species